GACGUAGGGUGCGAGCGUUGUCCGGAUUUAUUGGGCGUAAAGAGCUCGUAGGCGGCUUGUCGCGUCGACUGUGAAAACCCGCGGCUCAACUGCGGGCCUGCAGCCGAUACGGGCAGGCUAGAGUUCGGUAGGGGAGACUGGAAUUCCUGGUGUAGCGGUGGAAUGCGUAGAGAUCGGGAAGAACACCAGUGGCGAAGGCGACGUGCUGGGUUGCAACUGACGCUGAGAUGCGAAAGUGUGGGGAGCAAACGGG
rnacentral:rRNA from 1 species